rnacentral:tRNA from 1 species
GCAGGCUACUGUGAUAUAGUGGUUGUGGGAUUAAGUCUCCGUCGGUACGUUGCUGUUCUUUGGGG